CAAUGUCAAGGUCACAUGGAUUCGUCUGCAAGCGAGACAAGUAGAAAAUGAAUUUUAAUGAAUGUUUUGAUGAUUUGGGUGCUAAAAUAGAUGAGAGAUGUCAAUAUUUUGGUCCAAAUGGAUGUUUUAGGUAGUUUUGGACUGUUCCGGAUGGGUGGGGGACCUGGUAUGGACAAGUAAGGGUAACAUUUCCAACAAAUCUUAAAUGUAAAUAUUAUUAUGUCCCUAGAUUGAAGUUUCAGGUGGAGAGCAAGAUGAAAAAUAUGCCAAAUUACAUGCAUGCAGCCCAUUUAUGCCAUUUUUCUCUUUGUUUGUAGGCCUGACCGUUUGUCCUUGAGCCGUCGAUGGUCAACAAUCCGCUAGCUGUUUUGCUCUGACUGGUGCACUGGACAUGAUUUCAAUAGUUAGCCAGACCAUGAUUGAGCUUAAGGAUUGUGCUGCGGAUGCAGCCUGUGCAGUUCCGGGAGAAAGUCACUGUCUUGGGCAAUGCGGUCUGGUAUCAGGUCUGGAUGAUCCUUGCCUGACUGCGGGUUUGUGUACACCUCAAUCCGACUCUGUGUCCUGAACAGAGGCCGCAGUGGUGCAGCGCUUGUGGACGUUCCAUCAACAUCCUGAAAGGUCAACACUACACCCAGCUGGAAAAUUGAUCCUGAUAGUCAUCCCCAGGUAGUGGAAUGAAUGUACACUGAACUACAGAGGAAUCACACCCAAAUGACUUUCCUGCCACGACAUUAGUGUGGCCACUCGCGUAGGAAUUCCUUAGCAAACGUGCUCUUUUGCAUGGUGACUGUGGGCAUUUUUGCAAAACUUACGCUUUCAACACUGGAUUUUAAAGAGAAUACUUAAUAAAAUGUCGCUAACAGGACUUAUUUAUAUGAGAGAGACUAUCUGGAUGCGCAUUAAGUGUCACUUUGUGUCGUAAG